UACGGGAGGCAGCAGUGGGGAAUAUUGGACAAUGGACCAAAAGUCUGAUCCAGCAAUUCUGUGUGCACGAUGAAGUUUUUCGGAAUGUAAAGUGCUUUCAGUUGGGAAGAAGUCAGUGACGGUACCAACAGAAGAAGCGACGGCUAAAUACGUGCCAGCAGCCGCGGUAAUACGUAUGUCGCAAGCGUUAUCCGGAUUUAUUGGGCGUAAAGCGCGUCUAGGCGGCUUAGUAAGUCUGAUGUGAAAAUGCGGGGCUCAACCCCGUAUUGCGUUGGAAACUGCUAAACUAGAGUACUGGAGAGGUAGGCGGAACUACAAGUGUAGAGGUGAAAUUCGUAGAUAUUUGUAGGAAUGCCGAUGGGGAAGCCAGCCUACUGGACAGAUACUGACGCUAAAGCGCGAAAGCGUGGGUAGCAAACAGGAUUAGAUACCCUGGUAGUCCACGCCGUAAACGAUGAUUACUAGGUGUUGGGGGUCGAACCUCAGCGCCCAAGCUAACGCGAUAAGUAAUCCGCCUGGGGAGUACGUACGCAAGUAUGAAACUCAAAGGAAUUGACGG
rnacentral:rRNA from 1 species